GGACUACUAGGGUUUCUAAUCCCGUUCGCUCCCCUGGCUUUCGCACAUGAGCGUCAGUAACCAUCCAGGAUGCUGCCUUCGCCUUUGGUGUUCUUCCAGAUCUCUACGCAUUUCACCGCUCCACCUGGAAUUCCGCAUCCCUCUUUGGCCCUCAAGUCUUCCAGUUUUCCAAGGCCUGUGGCAGUUGAGCCACCACCUGUCACUUGAAACUUAAAAGACCGCCUGCGUGCGCUUUACGCCCAAUAAAUCCGGACAACGCUUGCCCCCUACGUAUUACCGCGGCGGCUGGCAC
rnacentral:rRNA from 1 species